CCCCUGGUGGCUCAGACGGUAAAGCAUCUGCCUACAAUGCGGGAGACCCAGGUUCGAUCCCUGGGUCGGGAA
rnacentral:tRNA from 1 species